rnacentral:rRNA from 1 species
CUACGGGUGGCACCAGUGGGGAAUAUUGGACAAUGGGGGAAACCCUGAUCCAGCAAUGCCGCGUGUGUGAAGAAGGCCUGCGGGUUGUGAAGCACUUUCGGUUGGGAGGACUGCUUCUAGCACUAAUAUUGUUGGAAGUUGACGUUACCUUCAGAAGAAGCACCGGCUAACUCCGUGCCAGCAGGCCGCGGUAAUACGGAGGGUGCAAGCGUUAAUCGGAAUUACUGGGCGUAAAGCGCGCGUAGGCGGCUAGAUCAGUCGGGUGUGAAAGCCCCGGGCUUAAACUGGGAACUGCAUCCGAUACUGUCUAGCUUGAGUACAGGAGAGGAGAGUGGAAUUCCACAUGUAGCGGUGAAAUGCGUAGAUAUGUGGAGGAACACCAAUGGCGAAGGCAGCUCUCUGGCCUGAUACUGACGCUGAGGUGCGAAAGCGUGGGGAGCAAACAGGAUUAGAUACCCUAGUAGUC